rnacentral:rRNA from 1 species
AUUGAACGCUGGCGGAAUGCUUUACACAUGCAAGUCGAACGGCAGCACGGACUUCGGUCUGGUGGCGAGUGGCGAACGGGUGAGUAAUGUAUCGGAACGUGCCGAGUCGUGGGGGAUAACGUAGUGAAAAUUACGCUAAUACCGCAUACGAACUAUGGAUGAAAGCGGGGGAUCGCAAGACCUCGCGCGAUUGGAGCGGCCGAUAUCAGAUUAGGUAGUUGGUGGGGUAAAGGCCCACCAAGCCAACGAUCUGUAGCUGGUCUGAGAGGAUGACCAGCCACACUGGAACUGGGACACGGUCCAGACUCCUACGGGAGGCAGCAGUGGGGAAUUUUGGACAAUGGGCGAAAGCCUGAUCCAGCCAUUCCGCGUGCAGGAUGAAGGCCCUCGGGUUGUAAACUGCUUUUGUACAGAACGAAAAGGUUUCUACUAAUACUAGGAGCUCAUGACGGUACUGUAAGAAUAAGCACCGGCUAACUACGUGCCAGCAGCCGCGGUAA